rnacentral:lncRNA from 1 species
UGGUGGUGGUGGUGGUGGUGGUGGUGGUGGAGGUGUUUGUGAAUCACAACAAGAUAGUUUGCACAUGAUCAUUUUAUAUUUGCAUCUUGGAUAACAAUUAUACCUGGGAUGUGGGCAACGUUUAAGGCAACGGUAAAAUUGUCUUUUACAUCUCAAUAUGCAUGGCGAUGGUAGCGGGGGAGAUGGAGGCGGUGGUGGUAGAGGUGGUAGAGGUGGUGGUGGUGGAGGCGGUGGUGGAAGUGGCGGAGGUAGAGGCGACUGUGCUGGUGGUGGUGGUGGAGGUGGCGGUGGCGGAGGUGGUGGUGGUGGCGGCGGAGGUAGAGGCGACUGUGAUGGUGGCGGUGGUGAAGGUGGCGGAGGUGGCGGUGGUGGAGGUGGUGGAGGUGGUGGAGGUGGCGGCGGUGGCGGUGGAGGUGGUGGAGAUGGUGGUGGAGGCGGCGACCGAAGUGAACCAAAAUAGCAAGUUUUUUUGCAACUGAUGUAUUUACUUUUGCAUUCGAUAUAACAUUUAAAAUCGAAAAUUGGACAAUGUGGAAGACAAACAUAGUAAAAUUCUCUUUUACAAUUCUUUAUGCAUUUAAAUUUAAUAAAACCGUUAACUUCCAAUGAAUUUGGAACUACGGCUGAGCCAGCUGAGGCUUCCAUUAUGAACAUGAAAACCACCGCAAGCAGGAAAAAAAAGGAGAAAACACCUGAUCCAUGAAGAGCCAUGGCCGGCCAGGAAGGGCAAAAUAGGAGAAGUAGAUUUUCCAAGAACAGAUUGGGUUUGAAUUGAUCG